rnacentral:rRNA from 1 species
UGGCUCAGAAUGAACGUUGGCGGCGUGGAUUAGGCAUGCGAGUCGCGCGAGAAUGUAGCAAUACAGGACAGCGGCGAAAGGGAGAGGACAACACGGGAAUCUGCCUUGGGGACGAGGAUAGCGUCGGGAAGCUGACAGUAAUACUCGAUAAUGUUUGCGGACCAAAGGUGUGAUUCCGCCCCAAGAUGAGCCCGUGCCCCAUUAGCUAGUUGGCAGGGUAAUGGCCUACCAAGGCUGUGAUGGGUAGCUGGUGUGAGAGCACGACCAGCCUCACUGGCACUGAGACACUGGCCAGACACCUACGGGUGGCUGCAGUCGAGAAUCUUCGGCAAUGGACGAAAGUCUGACCGAGCGACGCCGCGUGCGGGAUGAAGGCCUUCGGGUUGUAAACCGCUGUCGUAGGGAAUCAAAUGCAUAGGGGUACUCCCCUUUGUUUGAGAGAUCCUAGGAGGAAGGAGAGGCUAAGCUCGUGCCAGCAGCCGCGGUAAGACGAGCUCUCCAAACGUUAUUCGGUAUUACUGGGCUUAAAGAGUUCGUAGGCGGCUCUGUAGGUGAGAUGUGAAAGCCCUCGGCCUAACCGAGGAACUGCGUUUCAAACCACAGGGCUUGAGGGAGAUAGGGGUAAGCGGAACAGAUGGUGGAGCGGUGAAAUGCAUUGAUAUCAUCUGGAACA